CAAGAGAACGUUUCAAAUACGCCUCAAAUCAAAUCAAAAAGCACACAAGUAUGCAAGCCAGCUCCCAUUAGUGCAGUAUGACCCAAGGCUUUAUUGCUUCCAACACUGCAAACGAAUUCCAAGCAUUGUAGUAGUCAGUGAUAAUUAGGAUCUGUUGAACACCUUCAGUUUUCACUCAGCUCUUACAUAUUCAGCAAUACGGCACAAUAAAUGCCUUCAGUUCCUUAAUGGUCUCUGUGCAGCAUGAAGACGGAGGGCGGAGGAAGUCAUAAUCUGGAAGAAUGCUCUGUGAUGUGACCACAGCUCAGUCAACUGAAACAGAUACAUUAUUCAUAGAAAUUAACACCACCGCUUAGGGUGAUGAGAAUAAGCUGGAAGAGUUCUGAACUUCCAUCACGCCGGUAUCCCCUGUGGACGAAAGCAUUAUGAGCAUGGCCAUCUCCUACAAUGAAGAUCUUGAUCUGGCAGGUGAAAGAAAGACGCAAUGUACUUUUAAUACUACAGCUGUUUGCAGAAUGCAUAGCGAUGAGGUAAUCUAUCUGCUUGUAGCUGUGGGAUUAAUAACUGCCAGAUGACAUUCAUGAAAUUAGAAGUAAACUUCAUUUUAAUGCUGUACCACCAGACGACAGAACAGCCUCAAUCUGUGAAACUCCUCAAUUCAUCAACAGCACUCAAUCAUAAAAACAUAGUUUAAAUUUCAUGAUUUAAACAACAAGAAAAAGUUGGAAUCUGACAGGCAUAAAAUGUGCAAUUGGUAAGAAUUGGCCACCUUGGCUGGACUGCUAGCCGAUUAGCUGCCGCUGUCCUGACACAGAGCUCUGAGGGCUUAAGAAGUGUUGCUGUUGUACGCUACCAGAUUAUCACCUCGAGAUACAAAGCAGUAUUAUAGACAGGACACCAGGGCUAGCUGGUUAGCAUGCUAACUUCAGUAGACAUCUCUGCAACAUUUAAUUUCUUAAUUUUUCACCAAACAGAAGCCCGCCCCAGACUAGACGAAUAAUAGUUAUUUUUGUAUGGUGUAUUGAAAGAAUGACUAUGUUGCUCAUAGCGACAAAUCCAGUUCAUCUGGGUAUCAUCCAACUAUGCCGUGCCUCUAAAUUUGUUGUGUGUUUGUGCAUCUUUCAGCUGAUUCUUUUUCUUUCAUGGCAUGCAACUUGACUGUUUUGGUUCACCCUUACUGCUAGACCCUGCUAGACCCUUGAAAUGGUUGGAUAAGCCCUCCAGACAUCUACUGAGCACCAAACAGCAGACAAACAACCUAGCAAUGAGUAAGCGAGCAUAGAAGGGCAUUUAGCAGCUGAAUUGCCUGAAUUUUACCUGAGGAGGUGGUGGGGAGCAAAACAGAGUUGAAAGAUUAUUUGUCAUGUGAGAAGAAACAUGAAUAAUGAACACAGAUAUUGCUCUGUUUCUGCUAAGAGUAUAUAGCUGUUGCUAACAUGUUAAACCCAACCCACUUUGUCAGAUGACAGUAUGUCGAUGCGUAUUUACAGCUGUUGCACUGCUCCCAAGUGGCCAUAAGAUCCAUAAAAGUCUGUUUGUACAACUUCUGGCCAGCGUUUUUUCAGUAUUUUUCAGAAAACAAUAAAUUAGCCUCGCUUGCAGUGCUCACGGACUGCGACUUCUCAAGUGUGUUGGUUCAUAAUGAAUAUUGGAAAUAUAUAGUUUAAUAAAAAAAGGAAAAAAGAUUAACACUUUUCUGGGGCUCUCAUGUUUUUUAACAAACAUGAGUUAAACAGGAGUGCUGUUGUUGGGGACUAUUUGUUGCACUAUAGUAUGUACAGCAGCUGUAUGUGUAUACUGGAUUGUCUCAAAAUAAACUAUAGUGCCUGUGUUUAUUACAAUGAAAGAACUUGUUCAUUGAUAUGUUUCCAAUAACUUUUGGAGAAUAGCAAAGAGGAAUCACAUCUGUCAGGUUUUGGAUACAAAGACGAUACUUGUUAGCCAGAUGAGAUCAUUGUUGGCUUUGGACUUUUCAUUGGAUUUGUUAUCGAUAAAACAAAUUGUCAAAUAAAGAAUAUUGUUCUUCUCUGUUGUCUCUUGCUGUCUCACAUGUUCUUGCUUUUAAGUUUAAAAAUGAGGCAAUGGAAUGAAUUGUAUUUCUGUCUGUCCUUCACAGAUAGUAAUUGCAACCAUCCAUCCUCCUCUCAAUGUCCGAGCCUCCCACAACAGACUCUACAAUGACCGACUGUGUGAAGUCAGAUUAGCUCAAAUUUCCUCGCAAGAUGUUACACAGCAUCAGCGAAAACAAAGUCCUCAAAAUGGGGAUUUACUGCCUCCUUCCAGUCAACGGCCCCCUCGGGAGCUUUCCUGAAUGAAUCCCAGACUGCUGCGCAGCUCGGCUAUCUUGCUGACCUGCCUUGCCACCAGCUUCUCCAACCUGAAUCCUACACACUCGCGCUAUACGGCCACAUCCUGGCAGUAAAUCACUGGGCAGAGUGAACUUCCCUGGAAUGCUUGCUGGGUUGCCAAAUGAUUGUUUGUAAGUCCAAGCAAGGUCCAAACCUUAUCAGUGUUUAACACAUCUCUGUGUUAUCUGUGAUGAAGGUGAGAUAAAAGUGAUCACUUUAUUCUAAGAAUAGAUUCCCAGAGGCAAUAAUUCCAGUAAUAGAACACGGAAGGGUGCACAGGAGGUCUGCCGAGGUGAUGAUUAUUCAGCUCAUGUGCUCCAACCUGAAGUUCAGCCACAACAGCUUCAGGGCUGCACAUUUAUGACAUCACCAGAGGACAUUUCUGCAUUUAAAUCAACACCAGGAAACACAAGGUUUCAGUGUCUGCAAGCACGGUCAGCAGUUGAAAUGAAUGCAUACUUUACGAAGCUGAAUGACUUCUCCUUACCAGGGAUUUGGAAUGGAAAUGGUGAAAAAAUAUUAUUGCUGCCAGUUCAACCGAGAAGCACUUGCUUGCUGCAAUUAAGGCAAAAGUUUUGAUUUGCCAGUCUCUGCGUGCCAACAGGAUUUCUCACCCGUGUCCACACCUGACUUCAUACCGACAGGCCAAACCUACUCGUACAGCAUCUUACAGACUGUGUGAGAGACCGAGUUUCAGUACCACUUUGUGAUGCACUCUGAAUCAUCGAGGGGAUUUUUUGACAUGCAAAUCUGGCCUAAGGCUAAAUUUUCAGCUGACCCCUUCGGAGACUUGGGUGGGCUCCCGAAAUACCUCCCUUAAUUUGACAUGACCUGAUUUGGAGGAUUUCUGUGUUAUUACUGCUCUUGGACGUGUGGACUCACAUGCGAGGCGUGAGGUUGAGGGAGGUCUUCCCGGAGCUGUUAUGAGAGCUGAUGUGGGACAACAGAGGGCCGUGCCUGGAGCAAAGGAGAGGUGGAGGUAGAUUGAGCGGAGGAACAAGAGAGCGUUGGAACGUAACAUGAAUGACAGAAAGGAAUAAAUGGAGGGAAAAAAGAAAUGAAGCAGGGAAUGUAGAUCCCACCUGCAAAGGUCCAAUUUGGAGCACAGGUUUUUCAGAAGUGUCAGUUCAGCAUCAUGUCUUCUUCUCUGUCCGUCUUCCUCUGGCCCCCCAGAGUCAUCUAACUAUUGUUGUGUUGGAAGUCCCUGAGUUUUGACAGCUGUGCUUGGAGUGCUGUGACGGCAGUCUGGAGGGAAGGGUGUGUAACUCUGGCUGUGUGUUGUGUGAUGGUUUCUAAUGGAUGUGGACACUUUGGUGUGCAGUGCAUCGGCAUGCAAAUAUUGGUGUGUGUGUGUGUAUGUGACUCUAGGGGUUAAGCCCCGAGGGUGAGUAGCUAUGUGUGUGUGACAUCGAUAAAAAAUAAUAAAUUUGAUUUACGAGGCACCUUGUGGACCCAUAAUGCAGCCCAGUGUGCUCUAUUAGCAGUAAUUUGACACGCGGCUUUGUCGACGGGAGAGAAACAACGAAUGAUGAAGAAACAAAACUCUGAAGGGGCUCCGACGUCGCCAGCUGGAUCAUUUUGUGCCAUAAUGUUUGACAAUUUUGUGAUUUUACUCUAUGCUGCCUCAUUUCAUUUAAUCUCCUAACAGGAUUAGAAUAGCAGAAUAGGGAUCGUAAGUCUCAAAUGAACUCUCAGCUAGUCCUAUUUGGUGUAGGUUAUGAUGAGGAUGAGGAACGUGACUGUAGUCUGUCUCGUGCCAGUUGACCCACAUUUGAAGCAGCUUGCAGGUGGAGCUCUCUGACUCAGGUGUGCUGUGAUCAAGUUGAGUUAUUCAUAAUGAACCACUCAGCUAUUUGCAGUUUGGUUAGGUUUAGAAACCCUUCAUCGUACAUCCUGCGGUCAUCCUACAGCUGUUGGAAGUAGCCGCCUAACAACAAGCAUAAAAGUGGAUCGUAAUGAGCUGCUUUCAUUUUCAACCUGUUUGCUUUAUUUAUCUGAGGAGGAAGGGCUGAUGGACUUAUAGAUGUCUUCUUCCUAUGUCUACAACAUGAACUUGCUUUAAAUGAAAAUAAAUAUAUCCUCUAAAUUUUCAA